CGCUCUCCUCCCCCACCUUCGGUGGCCUUGCCGCGCUCCUUCCCGUGCCGAACUUCCAAAAAGCACCUUUGAGUUCAAGCCGGUGACGGAUUCCGUCGAUGCGAGGCCGAAGGCGCCAUAUCCAGACCACUAACAACACGACGCCGGCAGCAACCUUCCCACAAGCAGCGGCCGUGGUGUAGUCGGCCUCCCUGUAGAGCUUCCUCCCGCCCUCGGCCCAUGCGGCGACGUCGUCGUCCCAGAACCGGCCCAACCGCGCCCGCCCCUUCCAGUGCGUGGCCGUUUCCGCCCCGUCGGCGGCGGCCGCCUCGCCGUCGGCCUCGGCCGUCCCGGCGGAGCGGCUGGAGCCGUGGGUGGAGCAGCGCUGCAACGGGAGGGCGGGUACUGGGUGCCUCACAAGCUCACCAAGCUGCCCAUGGAGGAGAUCAACGCCACAAGCUCACCAAGGAGGACGUCGACGUGCGGCUCAAGUGGCUCGGCCUCUUCCACCGCCGCAAGCAGUAGUGUAUGCCCCUGCUCUGUCAAGGUUCUGAGGCAUCAUCUUGUGGAGGACUCAUGUUGAGAUCAAUCCCAAACAUCAUUGCGGCGAUGGAGCACUUGCUCAGAACAAGUAGUGAUGGGCUGCUUGCUUGAGCCUACACCAUGCUGUCUUUUGUUCAGACUUGAGAGUAAACAAAGAGCAGCUGUAAAAGCUUUGUUUCUUUUACAAUUCCUAGAUACUCUGCAUCUACUCCCAAAUUCUGUACUGAAUAAAAUUGUUCUGUACUGAAUAAAACUGUUCUGUACUGAAUAAUGCCAAAUUGUACAAGGAGGACAUUGGAUCAUUGUCUAGUGCAGAACAAGCAAUGGGCCUGAAGAAAACUGUUCUAUACUGAAUAAUUUCUGGAAGUGCAUGUGAAUACCACCAGCAGCAACUAUUCCAGCA